AGCGAUUUACUUCGGUAAAGAGCGGCGGACGGGUGAGUAACGCGUGGGUAACCUGCCCUGUACACACGGAUAACAUACCGAAAGGUAUGCUAAUACGAGAUAAUAUACUUUUAUCGCAUGGUAGAAGUAUCAAAGCUCCGGCGGUACAGGAUGGACCCGCGUCUGAUUAGCUAGUUGGUAAGGUAACGGCUUACCAAGGCGACGAUCAGUAGCCGACCUGAGAGGGUGAUCGGCCACAUUGGAACUGAGACACGGUCCAAACUCCUACGGGAGGCAGCAGUGGGGAAUAUUGCACAAUGGGCGAAAGCCUGAUGCAGCAACGCCGCGUGAGCGAUGAAGGCCUUCGGGUCGUAAAGCUCUGUCCUCAAGGAAGAUAAUGACGGUACUUGAGGAGGAAGCCCCGGCUAACUACGUGCCAGCAGCCGCGGUAAUACGUAGGGGGCUAGCGUUAUCCGGAAUUACUGGGCGUAAAGGGUGCGUAGGUGGUUUCUUAAGUCAGAGGUGAAAGGCUACGGCUCAACCGUAGUAAGCCUUUGAAACUGGGAAACUUGAGUGCAGGAGAGGAGAGUGGAAUUCCUAGUGUAGCGGUGAAAUGCGUAGAUAUUAGGAGGAACACCAGUUGCGAAGGCGGCUCUCUGGACUGUAACUGACACUGAGGCACGAAAGCGUGGGGAGCAAACAGG
rnacentral:rRNA from 1 species